UUUAUGGAUCAUGACUUGUAUUCCCCCGUUGCACUCCAGCGUCACAGGAGAAUGGCCAUGAAAAAAAAGCCAGCGAGAUCCACUGAGUGGGUGGGGAGCCCGUGAAAGGGGGCGGGCCUUGUCAUGCAAAUAAUUGAAAUUGCCUGACGAGUUCUGACCUCAGGAGCAAAGAUGGAAUUUGAUGGAGUUCUGUGUUAUUUCUCCAUCAUUGCGGUUGACUAAUGGGAGGGAUCUGUCUUGACUGGCUUCUCAUUUCAGGAGGUUGUCUAAACUUGGCUUAUGAAUUCAUAAGCUUCCCUGCUAUCACUGCUGCUUUGUACCAGACAGAUUGGAGGGUAUUGAGGUCUAGUCUUUGAUGGAUUUCCUACCGAUCAGUUUGUGGCUGUUGAUUAAUUUGUUUCCUGAUGAGAUCAGUAUUUGUAAAUAAUGGAAGUUCUUUUACCGCAGAAGGGUGAUUUCCAUGAUAUUUGGAGGAAAUCAAAGAAGAAAACAACCCUCAGAGAUGGGAGCUCAUCUGAAGAUUUGAAGCUAUGCGUCUGGAAGGGAAGUUCAUCAGUUGCCAUAAUAAACUUGAAUGACAUUCCAUCGUGAUGAUUAGUGACCCUGGGCUAAUUUGGAAUGCCUGAUGCUCUGUGAUAUUAAAAAUAAACAUACGGUGGGAUGACAUCAUAUUGGCCUAGAUUUCAUCAAUGUCCCGUACAUGUAGACGCAUUUUCCCCAAGAAGA